UAGUGGCGAACGGGUGAGUAACACGUGAGUAACCUGCCCUUGACUCUGGGAUAAGCCUGGGAAACUGGGUCUAAUACCGGAUACGACCAUUCCACGCAUGUGGUGGUGGUGGAAAGCUUUUGUGGUUUUGGAUGGACUCGCGGCCUAUCAGCUUGUUGGUGGGGUAAUGGCCUACCAAGGCGACGACGGGUAGCCGGCCUGAGAGGGUGACCGGCCACACUGGGACUGAGACACGGCCCAGACUCCUACGGGAGGCAGCAGUGGGGAAUAUUGCACAAUGGGCGCAAGCCUGAUGCAGCGACGCCGCGUGAGGGAUGACGGCCUUCGGGUUGUAAACCUCUUUCAGUAGGGAAGAAGCGUAAGUGACGGUACCUGCAGAAGAAGCGCCGGCUAACUACGUGCCAGCAGCCGCGGUAAUACGUAGGGCGCAAGCGUUAUCCGGAAUUAUUGGGCGUAAAGAGCUCGUAGGCGGUUUGUCGCGUCUGCUGUGAAAGACCGGGGCUCAACUCCGGUUCUGCAGUGGGUACGGGCAGACUAGAGUGCAGUAGGGGAGACUGGAAUUCCUGGUGUAGCGGUGAAAUGCGCAGAUAUCAGGAGGAACACCGAUGGCGAAGGCAGGUCUCUGGGCUGUAACUGACGCUGAGGAGCGAAAGCAUGGGGAGCGAACAGGAUUAGAUACCCUGGUAGUCCAUGCCGUAAACGUUGGGCACUAGGUGUGGGGGACAUUCCACGUUUUCCGCGCCGUAGCUAACGCAUUAAGUGCCCCGCCUGGGGAGUACGGCCGCAAGGCUAAAACUCAAAGGAAUUGACGGGGGCCCGCACAAGCGGCGGAGCAUGCGGAUUAAUUCGAUGCAACGCGAAGAACCUUACCAAGGCUUGACAUGAACCGGAAAGACCUGGAAACAGGUGCCCCGCUUGCGGUCGGUUUACAGGUGGUGCAUGGUUGUCGUCAGCUCGUGUCGUGAGAUGUUGGGUUAAGUCCCGCAACGAGCGCAACCCUCGUUCUAUGUUGCCAGCGCGUGAUGGCGGGGACUCAUAGGAGACUGCCGGGGUCAACUCGGAGGAAGGUGGGGACGACGUCAAAUCAUCAUGCCCCUUAUGUCUUGGGCUUCACGCAUGCUACAAUGGCCGGUACAAAGGGUUGCGAUACUGUGAGGUGGAGCUAAUCCCAAAAAGCCGGUCUCAGUUCGGAUUGGGGUCUGCAACUCGACCCCAUGAAGUCGGAGUCGCUAGUAAUCGCAGAUCAG
rnacentral:rRNA from 1 species